rnacentral:rRNA from 1 species
CCUACGGGAGGCAGCAGUGAGGAAUAUUGGUCAAUGGGCGCGAGCCUGAACCAGCCAAGUCGCGUGAAGGAUGACGGCCCUACGGGUUGUAAACUUCUUUUAUAAAGGAAUAAAAUACGCCACGUGUGCCUUUCUGUAUGUACUUUAUGAAAAAGGAUCGGCUAACUCCGUGCCAGCAGCCGCGGUAAUACGGAGGAUCCGAGCGUUAUCCGGAUUUAUUGGGUUUAAAGGGAGCGGAGGGGGGUAGUUAAGUCAGUUGUGAAAGUUUGCGGCUCAACCGUAAAAUUGCAAUUGAUACUGGCAGUCUUGAGUACAGUUGAGGUAGGCGGAAUGCGUGGUGUAGCGGUGAAAUGCUUAGAUAUCACGAAGAACUCCGAUUGCGAAGGCAGCUUACUAAACUGCCACUGACAUUGAUGCUCGAAAGUGUGGGUAUCAAACAGGAUUAGAUACCCUUGUAGUC